ACCUUAUCAAGUAGAAACAGGCUCUCAGCGUAAUAAGCAGGGUAUAGAGUCCAUAAACCCCCCUCUGCAAUUGGAAGUUGUACAAGGAUUGUGUCUCCAGGUCUAAGGGAUAAACUAAUUGCCCCUGAACAAUUAUCAGCAGUGACCCUCUUCUGUUUCUGAUCAUGACGUCGCCUACGCUGUAAAAGAAUUGUGGAUUGAUGCCUAAUUCAUCUAUUGGAAAAUCAUAGAUGUUGCUCCAAGAUUGCACUCUAUCAAACUUUGUCAACUCCCAAAUUUGACAAGAGGAUGGCCUCCCAUUCAUCUGAGGGGAGUGGCAGACGGUAAGAAGAGGGUUCACAGGGCGGUGGCUACCACCUUCGACAAGACGUAAUCAGAGGAGGAACGAGCCAAACACUCGGGAAGCAUUACCUCGUCAAACUGCUCUUACU
rnacentral:lncRNA from 1 species